rnacentral:lncRNA from 1 species
UAUAUUAUUUUUAAUUAUUUCUUGUAAUGAUUGUCAUAAUGUUAAUUCGAAUUAUUACCAAAUAAAACAAAAUUUCGAAAAUAUUCCAAAGUGAUCUGUCAUGCAUUAAUAUUAAUUACUUAUGGGCAUUUUUCCAAGGAAAUCAAAUCCAAUUCAUCACGUGCAACACCUCUCCCAUUUAAUCACCAUUCUUUUCUUUUCAGUUUAUUCCCAUGCACCCCCUUUUUUUCUUUUUUAUUCUUUUUCCUUUUUUCCUUUUGUUUUUCUUUUUCCUUUUUCCUUCUCUUUUUUUUUUCUUUUCCCUUUUUUCUCUUUUAUUCUUUUUCUUUUCUUUUUCUUUUUCCUUUUCGUUUUUUUUUU